AUUUCUACAGGUAAUUGCUGAAGGAUUUUUGCUUCAAACAGGCUCUUGUUUGCAUCAAGUGUGGGGUGCAGCAAAGUGGACUCGGGACUGGCCGAUGUCUGGCCAGAAAUGCCAGGCAAGGGAAACAGUGACUCUAGUGGGGUCAGGAGAGGGGCAUCUGCUGGCCCAGGAGCGCAAGGCAGAGGGGAGAAGUUCUGGUCUCUCCUCGGUGCUGCGGCUGCCCCGGGAAGAGUUUCCAGGAGCUGACAAGCAUUCAGAUGAGUAAAGAUGGGAUCGGAUUGAGAAAAGGAGAAGGGAGAGCAUAUUCGUUCUCUUUCCACCUCCCUCCCACAGCCUUUCAUGCUGAUCUCAUCUGACGAAGCUGCCUCCUCCUCCCUGGACUCUACAAGCCCCUGUCAUGAUGUUUCUCAGAUCCUGAAUUCCAGCGAAACAGAUGAUACUAACAAGUUUGAAGACCCCCACAGAGGAAUGGAAUCAGUAUGAGAACACAGUUUCUUCAUCUCCCUGUCCCAGAACUUCACCCUGGACUCCUCGACCAAUCAACAAUCUCCACACUUCGGCCCACUCCAAAACUCCUAAAAUCCCAAGCUCCAAACUCCUCUGGGAGAUGGAUUUGAGGCUUCCUCCCGUUUCCUUGUGUGGAAGCCCUGUCAUUAAACCUC
rnacentral:lncRNA from 10 species